rnacentral:rRNA from 1 species
CCUACGGGAGGCAGCAGUGGGGAAUAUUGCACAAUGGGCGCAAGCCUGAUGCAGCCAUGCCGCGUGUAUGAAGAAGGCCUUCGGGUUGUAAAGUACUUUCAGCGAGGAGGAAGGUGUUGUGGUUAAUAACCGCGGUGAUUGACGUUACUCGCAGAAGAAGCACCGGCUAACUCCGUGCCAGCAGCCGCGGUAAU